rnacentral:rRNA from 1 species
AUGGCUUGUGUCUCUUCGCUGAAGUACUCGGUAAAAUUUAAUGGGAAGCUACUGGCGUCCUUCUCUCCCUCAAGGGAACUCCGUCAAGGUGAUCCACUGUCUCCAUUCCUCUUCUUAUUUGUAGCUGAUGCUCUUUCUGCGUUGAUUGAAAAGGCUGCAAGGGAAGAUGGUCUCAGUGGAGUCAAGAUAAGUAGAGGUGCUCCGGAGAUUACACACCUCUUGUUUGCGGAUGAUUCACUCCUAUUUUUUCAUGCAACAAAUCAGCAGGCAUUGUUAGUGAAAGGGGUGUUGAACACAUUUGCGACGGCGACUGGACAACUUAUUAACCCGUCGAAGUGUUCCAUUCUAUUCUCAAAUCAGUGUCAACCUGAUGUGGUUCACGAGGUAAAAACACGUUGGAUAUCACCCAGGAGGCGUUAG